rnacentral:rRNA from 1 species
CCCUUAGAUGUUCUGGGCCGCACGCGCGCUACACUGAUACAUGCAACGAGUUUAUAACCUUGAUCUGACGGUCUGGGUAAUCUUCCAACUGUAUCGUGUUAGGGAUCGAUUCUUGCAAUUUUUAAUCGUAAACGAGGAAUUCCUAGUAAACGCAAGUCAUCAGCUUGCAUUGAUUACGUCCCUGCCCUUUGUACACACCGCCCGUCGACUCUACCGAUUGAAUGGUUCGGUGAAAACUUUGGACUGUGGCAUUGUCCUUCAUUGGACUUCGCCGUAGGAAAUUGUUUAAACCUCAUCAUUUAGAGGAAGAAUAAGUCGUAACA